GGGCUCAUAGUCUAGCGGCUAUGACGUCUCCCUUACACGGAGAAGGUCGCCAGUUCGAAUCUGGCUGGGCCCA
rnacentral:tRNA from 1 species